GAUCUCGCUCGCCUUGUCUUUUCUUCCUGCCUGAGCCCGGCUUUUCUCCCCUCCCCCCUCGCCGGCGGAUUUUUUCCUUUUCCGACCGAAUCUCGUCGUGGUGGAAAUUUCCCCUGCUGUAGCUGUCCCUGCCGCCGCUCGGCUCGCUUCCCCGACCCCUGCCCGCUGUCCCAUCCCCAGUCCCACCCAAGAUGUCAGAGGAUCUAGCAAAACAGUUGGCCAGCUACAAAGCUCAACUCCAGCAAGUAGAAGCUGCUCUAUCGGGAAAUGGAGAAAAUGAAGAUCUGCUGAAACUGAAGAAGGAUUUGCAAGAAGUCAUAGAACUGACCAAAGACCUUCUGUCAACUCAGCCUUCGGAAACUCUCACAAGUUCAGACAGCUUUGCUUCUACUCAGCCCACUCAUUCAUGGAAAGUAGGGGACAAGUGCAUGGCCGUCUGGAGUGAAGAUGGACACCAUGAUAUCUUUACAGGUGUUAUGAGGCGGAGAUCGAGGAGAUCGAUGAAGAGAACGGCACCGCUGCGAUCACCUUCGCUGUCUAUGGCAAUGCCGAAGUGACUCCAUUGUUGAACCUCAAGCCUGUAGAGGAAGGAAGGAAAGCAAAAGAGGACAGCGGCAACAAACCCAUGUCAAAAAAAGAAAUGAUUGCCCAGCAGCGUGAAUAUAAAAAGAAAAAAGCUUUGAAAAAAGCACAGAGAAUAAAAGAGCUUGAGCAGGAGCGAGAGGACCAGAAGGUGAAAUGGCAGCAGUUCAACAACAGGGCGUACUCGAAAAACAAGAAAGGCCAGGUAAAGAGGAGUAUUUUUGCUUCGCCAGAAAGUGUAACGGGCAAAGUCGGAGUAGGAACUUGUGGAAUUGCUGACAAGCCCAUGACACAGUAUCAAGAUACAUCCAAAUACAAUGUCAGGCAUUUGAUGCCUCAGUAGUGAGAAACUGUUGGAUUUCAUCUCCGCAGGGCUUUACAUUUACCUUUUUAUCCUUAUAUUUUUCUAAAGGUAAAUUAUUUGUUAGAUGAGUAAGGGAGAUCCGUUGUUGUCAUUGUUUGGCUUUGGUAGGAUGAAACUUGAAGACAUUUGAUAACUGCUACCAUGUAACUUUUCAUUGCUACUCACCACAGCUUCUUCAGUAUGUUGAACAAGGCAACUUUUCUAGCUAAGUGCUGCAUAAGUCGGCACGUAGAUGACUUAGGAACGUCAGGCCACUUAACUGAUGUUGUGUGGACAGUUUGUAAGUCCUAACUUGGGAUUUUCAGAUGCUUUGCACUUGAUAUAUUCCAACAGUGCAGUGGAAGGGACAUCAAGGCAAAACGCCAGCCUGCUGAAGAGAGCGGCUUCCGUUUUACAACCUGGCACUGUCCAGACGAGCCCGAGUAUAGGUUAAUUUAUAAAUGGCAAAGUUUAUUUUGAGGUUUUUUUCCUUGAAUUGUUUCCUGGGACUAUUAGGUCACCUCUACAAUUGACUCACCUUGUAUUUUUUGUCAUUGAGUUUGAAUUUUAUAUUAAAAAACCAAACAAACCAUGUUUAGGAUGUGCUCCCCUUCUCUGUUUAUUUGGUGUUUUCCUUUGUUGACUUCACUUGUGGUAGUGCUACCCGUUUUGGGAUGUGUAAUGUUUAUAUGGGAAGACAAAGCUGAUGUACAGCCCUGUAUACAGUGUAGAUACUAUUUUUGUAAAAAACAGAACAAAACCAAAAAAAAAAAAAAAAAAAACAAAUCCAAGGCUAAAUUAAUGAACAAGAGUACUGAAUGUCUUCAUGAUUACAUUUUCCUGUAUUUCUUGUGCAUUAAUCUGACCAUAACUUCCCUGUAUAUUAUGUUCAUGUAGCUGAGUUUGUAAUUUUUAUUAACGAGAUCAAGUUGCCAGCAUUUGUUGGCAUAAGUGAAGCACCACAGCUAUCCCAAGUUGAGUUUAAACAAAACAAAGGUAGGGAAAAGGCCUUCCUGUUAAUUGGAAGAAGAUACUUUUUAGAGUGUGUGUUAAUUUCAGUUUUGUAUGUUUAACUUUAAUAAAUAAAGUCUGUACAA